GAUUUUAAAAUGUGAUGAAUCAAAUAUUUCAGGAGAUAAGCUUGAAAGCUAUCUUUAACCUCAAAAUAUCUGUUGUAAAAUCUACCUCAUACGGCUACAAUUCCAGUACAUAUACCGGAAACCAGUUUUUUAAAGUGAAAAAGCAAGCAUUUAUAUUUUCAAACUGAGUUCGUCUCUUAUUGAACAACAAUGGGGGCUAGUUCUAAGCCCAGAGUAAGGACUGCUGUAAUAUUACUUAUUCUUCAGUUCUAUCUCAGUUAUGUAGAAACUGUUCAAAUAGUGAGCCACAGUGAGCCAAUGCAGACGGUUCGGGUUGGUGAGCCGCUAGAUUUAUUUUGUGAAAGUUCUUCAACCUAUCAGUGGUGUUUAUUUGAACAUGAAGGGGUAGAGUACUCUACCACUGUUAAGGGACCUGAAACUACAGUCUGGGGAUUUAACUGGAAGAAGACGAGUACACGCUGUGGAAUUCAUGUACAGGCUGUACAACCAGGGUUUGCUGGACAGUGGAAAUGUCACCUAGCUCACACAAAUCUAAAGAAUAAAACAGAGGAGAGUAAGCUUGUUGAUGAGAGAUGGAUGGGUGUGUUUGUUGCAACUCCUGCUAAGAUUGAUCUUGUUGAUGUAGAAAGUCCAUUGGUUAAUGUUGGAACUGUUGUAGAGGCAGGCUGUGCUGUUACUCAGGUUGGUAGUCCUGAGGUAGAGAUAAACCUACAGUUGGAUUCUAGGGGACAACAGAAAACACUGCUACACUCGAUUGGAGAAAGCGGAUUUGGAACCCAUUAUGUGGAUCUACAAGAUACAGGAGCAGUUUUCAGAUGUGUAUGGAAACAAGAAAAGGAUGGUAUUCUUCUUUACAGCGGUGAAAUUAUCUCUGAACCUCUUGAAGUGAUUCUAAAACCCUCUCUUCAUCCUGGCAUUGUAAACAGAUUUGUGUUUACUGGAAACCCACUAGAAAUCCUUGUUACCUUUCAAGCCAAACCCUGGCCCCAGGAUGAAGAUAUUAAGUGGUUUGUCCUGGAUAACAAUGAAACUAUGUAUCCCUUGGAGUCUGGUUUAGGACUGGAGUUUGAGUACCUACCUCUGGAGAUACAAGAUGAAAAUCUUUAUGAGUUUACCACUGGAGUUUUAGUCUCUAAUGUUACAGAAAAUAUCAGUUUGUCGAUUCACAUCACUAAUUCCGUCGGAGAGACAGAAUUUUUCUUCCAUAUCGACCUACCACCCCCUACAACUACCUCCACAACUACCACAACGACAACUACUACUACUACUACUACAUCAGAAAUAGCGUCAGUGACAACAUUUUUGAAUUUCCUUGUUUCUGAUGAGGUAUACAAGAACAAUAUGACCGCUGGAUCUAUCAUAGGUUUAAUCGGAGGAAUAAUGUUUGGUUUGAUACUGGUUCUCCUGUCUCUGGUUUUAUGUCGGAGGAAAAAGAUCAGAAGAAGAGGAGGAGAUGUCUCCGGAAAUCAGAAUUGGGAGGAGAAAGGUUUUCCUCUUCUUCUUACGGAAACUAAUAUAAUCAGGCUCACAGACGGAGAUAAGUCACCGCUGUCGAUGUCAACAUUUGGCAAGGAUGGACAGACAGCGAGAAAUCAGGAGACAGUGGAGGACAGCGCAGAUGCUGGGUUUUCCAGAAAUAGAAACAUUAAUAGCACAGAACUUGAGCUAAUUCUUCCUUCCCCUUCCUCUAUAAGCACAGAUGAUCUUUCUUCACUCGGAGUAAGGAUGAAGGAGUUUCCUGAUCCUUUAGCCAGCUGGGAGGAUCUUGAACCAGAACUUAACUCUAGAAGAUCUAGAAACCUAGAGGAAGAAUUUGACCAAAAUCCUGCGUUACUUAGUCCAACCCAUUUCCAGGUUCGUUUAAGCGGUCCUUCAGGUUAUCCAGUAACAGUCCCCUCACCAUCUCAUUCACCAUAUUCAAGUAUUCAACGACUUCAUCUCCAUAUUCCUCCUGAGAAGCAAGUGGAGAGAAACCAAAAAUGAAAAUGUAGUUUACAAAAUGGAAACAUAUGCAAGCUCUGUAACUAGGAUUAAAGUUUUUAACUUUUACUUUUGCUUUACAAAAUAACUUUUUUUCAGCUCAGAACUGAUCUCAAAAAUAUCCCAACCUUUGUUUAAUUUACUUAAUUCUUUAUAUUAAUGUAUGUUAGAAUUGAACACAAUUAUUAAUCAUGAACUGAACAAUUAGAUACAGGGUUACCCACAAAGGAUGAGACUGUAAAGACGACUUAAAACUCAUGUAAUAUGACAAUCCCAAGUCUGCUGCCUACUAUGGUAUUGUACUGGCUUAUUUCAUGAGUUGGCAAAAAAGAAACAAGCUUACAUUUGCCAAAAACCGUAAAUAUAAGGAAACAGUCAGUAUAAAAUUCGUACAGUCGUCUCUGAAGUCUAAUAUUUUGUAGGUAACCCUCAGUAAGGAAAACAAUCAUAACUGUAAAAUUGAUGUGCAUAUGUAGAUACACAUAUGGAUUAAUAAAGAAAACACAAUUUGAAAGUAUGCAAUUUUAGUAAAAACCAAGACUUUUUUAUAUCAAGACAACAAUUUUAAAAAAGAUAAUUGUUGUAUACAUUGUUUUGUGUGAAGUAUACUGCUGUUUAGAAUUAUUAAUUAAUUAAACAUUGAAACAAUGAGUUAAAUGAUAGAAAAUAAGUAAGAAAUUCUACUUUAAAUCUUAAAAGAAAAAAGACAAAAUUAUAACUUCUUCUAGUUGUCUUAGAACUGAAUUAACAUUUUAAUAUGACACCAUUGUUAUAAUCAUGUGAACUGUAUUAUGGCAUCACUUUUUCAUAUCACUGCCCCAUUUAUACUGUUGUAACUUGUUUUGUUUAAA